ACGACAGCUCCUGUAUAACCGACGGCUUUAUUAUUAUUAUUAUUAUUAUUUACACGCCGCAUCAUCAAGAAAUGGUUCCAUGCAUCUAAUUUGCUCCUGCCGCUCUUCCUCUAUAUUUAGAGGCGCCGAGAUAUCUGGUUGAACAAAAAAUCGGUCAGCGGGUAAAAGUCGCCGACCAGCCAAUAUAUCUACAUUAUGGAAAUUGUCUUCGUCAGGUAAGUUCAAUGAACCGUGAAUGAUGUCCGUGAACGUCAGAUAGCAUUCUAGAAUGUUUCUAGCUCCCAGAACCACCAGUCCGCUCCAUCGAUCCCUAUCCCCUAGACUCAAAAUUCAUUACCUUGCAUUGUAGAACCAGCCUCGAAAGACAAAACAACGACGCUUACGUGCAUCACCUCCCUCAUGGAGACUUAAUGUUGUGUUCUAAUAGCCAUGCACGUACUGGAUGGCGUUUAGCCGUGUGACUGGAAACAGCGGGGACACAACAUAAACCAGGCUUCAAUAAAUACAAGGGGCAUGCAGACACUCUUGAGCG
rnacentral:sRNA from 2 species